rnacentral:lncRNA from 1 species
CCCUUCACACAUCCCUCUCGUGUACGGCCUCGAACCCAUCACCAGAACGAGCUGCUGCUUCGUCUCCAACGUGUCCACAAAGUACACUUCGUCAUUGAGUACCCUCCCCUUCGUAAGUUGGAUUUUCUUGACUUCUUGUAGGGAAUGGUCAUGUUUUCUGUUCCUAGAAUGUAUAAUUCUACUAUCUCCUCUAGGAUGGAUUGUACUCAAACCAAUAUUUU